AAAGGUAGCAUAAUCAGUUGACUUAUAAUUGAAGUCUGGUAUGAACGAAUUUACGGGUAACGACUGUCUUGGGAAGAAAUUAGAGAAUUUAAUUAUCAAGUGCAAAUGCUUGGUGAUUUAAAAUAGACGAGAAGACCCUAGAAACUUUAAAAUUUUGUUGGGGCGGCAGAAUUACACGGAACUUAUUUUAAUAUUACGUGAAGCGAAGAAGAAAGAUUAAGUUACUCUAGGGAUAACAGCAUAAUUUAUAAUAGUUUGUGACCUCGAUGUUGGACUAGGUAAUAUAGUUUUUAGAAGAAACUAUUGGUUGCUCUGUUCGAGCAGUUUUACCUACAU
rnacentral:rRNA from 1 species